AUAGGUUUUUGCCCAUGCACCAUGGUUGUCUGAGCACGCAGCAUGCUUGUCUGCUCAUACCCCAUGGUUCCUGAGCAGGGACCUUC
rfam:Fukomys damarensis contig96392, whole genome shotgun sequence.